GCAUAUGCUUCAUGCAAUUAGAAAAGGAAUAUGUAGGAGUAAAUCAACAUUUUGGUCCUCAAAGUUUUAAUGGUCGAGCAACUUAAUCCCUCAAAUGUUGAAAUUUAAAAUAGAAAAUUAGUCCUUUAUAUUAAAGAACAUCAAUCAAUAUAGUCCCUCAACUAAAAUAUCCCUUUAGUUAACAUCCACUAAAUUCAAUGAAAAACCUACAUAUUGACCUUAAUAGUCGCUUGUUGCUUUCAGAUGAACAUAAAAUCUUUAAAAUUAUGGUCCUAUAAUUGGAAAAAGGACUAAAUUGACUAACAUUGUUCAAUUUAAGGGGCUAAAUUUCCAUUUUGUAAAUUUGAGGGACUAAAUUUCCAUAAUUCAAUAUUAAAAGUGCUGAAUGGUUUAAAUUGAAUUUUAAAAGCAAAUUAAAUUUAUAUUUCCAAAACCCAACAUAUAUAAUUAAAAUGAGAAUGCCUAAAAGCAAUAUACACAAUAAAAAUACUAACCAAAUCAGAGAAUAUUGCAUGGCAAGAAAAGAUUUGUAAACUAUGAAGCACCCACACAUACACAGACACACGGACAAUAACACUUCAGAUAAUAAUUUUAGAAAAAUGACUUAAUUCAAUGUAAUCAUAAGUGUCAUCGACGUGUAUCUGACACCAGGACACGCCUAAUCCGAUUAGUACUUCGGUGAUAGAUAUAGCACAGCCAAUCAAAUUAAGUAACACUUGUAAAAUAAACACUCAGAAAUAUACUAUCAGUAAAUUACUUCAAAAAAAUUAACUUGCUUGAGCUUAAAGGUAAUUGAUAAUUGAAUAUUUCAGCACAAUCAGAGGCAUGAGCAACACCUUUCCACCUUCAGAAUAAGAUAUACCAAUUUCAAAAUAAAUCAGUAAAAACCUUACUGGAGUAAAUGGCCAACGACUGCAAAACGGCGGCGAUUCGACGGGGGAAGCUCAGGAANN
rnacentral:lncRNA from 1 species